AUACGUAGGGGGCAAGCGUUAUCCGGAUUUACUGGGUGUAAAGGGAGCGUAGACGGCGAUGCAAGUCUGAAGUGAAAGCCCGGGGCUCAACCCCGCGGACUGCUUUGGAAACUGUGUUGCUGGAGUGCAGGAGAGGUGAGUGGAAUUCCUAGUGUAGCGGUGAAAUGCGUAGAUAUUAGGGGGAACACCAGUGGCGAAGGCGGCUCACUGGACUGUAACGGACGUUGAGGCGCGAAAGCGUGGGGAGAAAACAGGAUUAGAUACCCUGGUAGUCCACGCCGUAAACGAUGAAUGCUAGGUGGCGGGGGGCAAAGCCCUUCGGUGCCACCGCUAACGCAUUAAGCAUUCCACCUGGGGAGUACGUUCGCAAGACUGAAACUUAAAUGAAUUGGCGGGG
rnacentral:rRNA from 1 species